UUAGGAAUCUUCCACAAUGGGCGAAAGCCUGAUGGAGCGACGCCGCGUGAGGGAUGAAGGCCUUAGGGUUGUAAACCUCUAAAGGAGGGACGAUAAUGACGGUACCUCUUGAAUAGCACCGGCUAACUCCGUGCCAGCAGCCGCGGUAAUACGGAGGGUGCAAGCGUUAUCCGGAAUCACUGGGCGUAAAGGGCGCGUAGGCGGUCUGUUAAGUCCGAUGUUAAAUCCCGGGGCUCAACCCCGGAUAAGCGUUGGAUACUGGCAGGCUAGACGGUUGGAGAGGCGAGUGGAAUUACCAGUGUAGCGGUGGAAUGCGUAGAUACUGGUAGGAACACCCAUGGCGAAGGCAGCUCGCUGGACAACACGUGACGUUGAGGCGCGAAAGUGUGGGGAGCAAACC
rnacentral:rRNA from 1 species